AUGCUUAUACUGGAUUAAGUCUUUGUAAUCGCCAAAUUUACAGCUAGUAUGUGGGGUAUUGUGCACAUUACUAUUUUUUGUAUCAUGUUAGGUGAGCGUGCCUAAAUCAUGAUAUACACUAUUAGGUAGUCAGACCUAAAUAGUGAUUUACGUCACUUGUGGGUGAACGGACCCAACAGUGAUAUGACCACAGUCACAGAUCCGGUCGAGUGACAAAUACUGUGGGUAGUUGGUUGAUGUGGAAACAUUGUAAUCGCUCUUAAUACUAUGAAUUAUAACAAAUAUGUUUUUAUAAACCUGAAUGAACUCACUCAGUAUUUCCCUGCUGACAAAACCUUUUUAAAACGCGUUUCAGGUAAGAGUUGGAUACGUCACCAACAAGACUUACAGAAGUGGCUCAUUUUUAUCAAUUAAAUUAAAUUAAGAAAAAUUGUUUUAUAUAAUCGGGUUUAACCCUUACUAAAGCUACCAUUGUAAAACAUGGGUUUUUAUCCCAUCUAUUUAAUAAAUAAAAUCCGGUGUUUCUAAACUCUGAUAUUUUUCCUAACUCACGGUCCUGAUGAAAAUUUCCGCUGCAAUGUUUUUCAAAAGUAACCACCGAUACCGCUUGGUUGUUCGCGGCGCCCGAUUCUAUCCAGGGUGGGAUCGGGGGUCGUGACAGAAGGUGGUAUCAGAGCCACUGCUUUAAGCCUAUAAGUAUUGUGAUAAUAAUACUUAAGCUUAAGUAAAAGAGUUAGGAGAUUGCUAUUUACUGGUAGCACAUCUGGUAGCAUUUAGACUUGAACAUAAGAAAAGAUACCUUACUAUAAGCUAAGCCACUUGUUUAAGCCAUUAGGUGUUGUAAUAAUACCUAAGUUUAAAUAGAGAAUUGGGAACUUAAUAUUAUCUGAUAGCACCCAGGAUGAUAUUUAGACUUGAACUUAAGUAUUUUGCCUUAAUAUAAGCUUCAAGAUAAAUUACUUAUAUAAGUAUAAUGUAAUGAAUAUUGGUAUGCCAUAAGAAGGCUGAGUAGAAUAUUGCAAGAUAUGAUAAAUAAGCAAUAACAUUUAAAUUACUAUUAAUUCUUGCUUAUUGAUAUUAUUUGGUCUAGAAUAAAGAUAUGAUUAUGGAAAUACAAAUUUCCUUGAUUCUGGAUAAAAGCCCUAAUAAAAGUGGCACUUUUAAAAUCUUGAAAAGAUACUAUUUAUGGGAAAUAGAAAAUUUUCUCCGGCCAAACUGGGUAUAGAGUAGCAGACUCUCCAGCUUGUCUGGAUAUACUAAAGUUACCCUCCGGCGCGAACCGGAUAAGACGGGGUAAAUAAUAUGUCAAAUCAGUGACAAGAUUCCCCUAAAUAAUAUCAUGAACUGAUAUCUGACUUGUUUUUGGAAAUAUGAGUUUGUUAAAUACAUUGACCAUAUAGAUGGUAUGUAUAUUACAGCAUGUGAAAUAUAUGAUUAUAUAGAUAUGUAUAUCUAUAAGGAAUUCCAAAAGUCAGUUAGGAAUAAAGCACAAGCAUAUUGUCAAUAAUAAAUAUAGAUUUCUUUAUCAGGAAUCUCUUUUCCGAUAUCAAACAUUAUUUCGUUUGAUCAUCUACCUCGUAACUCGUGCAAUGAGAACCCAUUAAGCUGGGAUAC
rnacentral:lncRNA from 1 species